rnacentral:rRNA from 1 species
CUUCUAUGACGUUAGCGGCGGACGGGUGAGUAACACGUGGGCAACCUGCCUGUAAGACUGGGAUAACUUCGGGAAACCGAAGCUAAUACCGGAUAGGAUCUUCUCCUUCAUGGGAGAUGAUUGAAAGAUGGUUUCGGCUAUCACUUACAGAUGGGCCCGCGGUGCAUUAGCUAGUUGGUGAGGUAACGGCUCACCAAGGCAACGAUGCAUAGCCGACCUGAGAGGGUGAUCGGCCACACUGGGACUGAGACACGGCCCAGACUCCUACGGGAGGCAGCAGUAGGGAAUCUUCCGCAAUGGACGAAAGUCUGACGGAGCAACGCCGCGUGAGUGAUGAAGGCUUUCGGGUCGUAAAACUCUGUUGUUAGGGAAGAACAAGUACGAGAGUAACUGCUCGUACCUUGACGGUACCUAACCAGAAAGCCACGGCUAACUACGUGCCAGCAGCCGCGGUAAUACGUAGGUGGCAAGCGUUAUCCGGAAUUAUUGGGCGUAAAGCGCGCGCAGGCGGUUUCUUAAGUCUGAUGUGAAAGCCCACGGCUCAACCGUGGAGGAUCAUUGAAAACUGGGGAACUUGAGUGCAGAAGAAAAGAGCGGAAUUCCACGUGUAGCGGUGAAAUGCGUAUAGAUGUG